rnacentral:rRNA from 1 species
GAUGAACGCUGGCGGCGUGCCUAAUACAUGCAAGUCGAGCGAACGGACGAGAAGCUUGCUUCUCUGAUGUUAGCGGCGGACGGGUGAGUAACACGUGGAUAACCUACCUAUAAGACUGGGAUAACUUCGGGAAACCGGAGCUAAUACCGGAUAAUAUUUUGAACCGCAUGGUUCAAAAGUGAAAGACGGUCUUGCUGUCACUUAUAGAUGGAUCCGCGCUGCAUUAGCUAGUUGGUAAGGUAACGGCUUACCAAGGCAACGAUGCAUAGCCGACCUGAGAGGGUGAUCGGCCACACUGGAACUGAGACACGGUCCAGACUCCUACGGGAGGCAGCAGUAGGGAAUCUUCCGCAAUGGGCGAAAGCCUGACGGAGCAACGCCGCGUGAGUGAUGAAGGUCUUCGGAUCGUAAGACUCUGUUAUUAGGGAAGAACAUAUGUGUAAGUAACUGUGCACAUCUUGACGGUACCUAAUCAGAAAGCCACGGCUAACUACGUGCCAGCAGCCGCGGUAAUACGUAGGUGGCAAGCGUUAUCCGGAAUUAUUGGGCGUAAAGCGCGCGUAGGCGGUUUUUUAAGUCUGAUGUGAAAGCCCACGGCUCAACCGUGGAGGGUCAUUGGAAACUGGAAAACUUGAGUGCAGAAGAGGAAAGUGGAAUUCCAUGUGUAGCGGUGAAAUGCGCAGAGAUAUGGAGGAACACCAGUGGCGAAGGCGACUUUCUGGUCUGUAAUUGACGCUGAUGUGCGAAAGCGUGGGGAUCAAACAGGAUUAGAUACCCUGGUAGUCCACGCCGUAAACGAUGAGUGCUAAGUGUUAGGGGGGUUCCGCCCCUUAGUGCUGCAGCUAACGCAUUAAGCACUCCGCCUGGGGAGUACGACCGCAAGGUUGAAACUCAAAGGAAUUGACGGGGACCCGCACAAGCGGUGGAGCAUGUGGUUUAAUUCGAAGCAACGCGAAGAACCUUACCAAAUCUUGACAUCCUUUGACAACUCUAGAGAUAGAGCUUUCCCCUUCGGGGGACAAAGUGACAGGUGGUGCAUGGUUGUCGUCAGCUCGUGUCGUGAGAUGUUGGGUUAAGUCCCGCAACGAGCGCAACCCUUAAGCUUAGUUGCCAUCAUUAAGUUGGGCACUCUAAGUUGACUGCCGGUGACAAACCGGAGGAAGGUGGGGAUGACGUCAAAUCAUCAUGCCCCUUAUGAUUUGGGCUACACACGUGCUACAAUGGACAAUACAAAGGGCAGCGAAACCGCGAGGUCAAGCAAAUCCCAUAAAGUUGUUCUCAGUUCGGAUUGUAGCCUGCAACUCGACUACAUGAAGCUGGAAUCGCUAGUAAUCGUAGAUCAGCAUGCUACGGUGAAUACGUUCCCGGGUCU